rnacentral:rRNA from 1 species
GCUGGCGGCGUGCCUAAUACAUGCAAGUCGAGCGAACAGAUAAGGAGCUUGCUCCUUUGACGUUAGCGGCGGACGGGUGAGUAACACGUGGGUAACCUACCUAUAAGACUGGGAUAACUUCGGGAAACCGGAGCUAAUACCGGAUAACAUUUGGAACCGCAUGGUUCUAAAGUGAAAGAUGGUUUUGCUAUCACUUAUAGAUGGACCCGCGCCGUAUUAGCUAGUUGGUAAGGUAACGGCUUACCAAGGCAACGAUACGUAGCCGACCUGAGAGGGUGAUCGGCCACACUGGAACUGAGACACGGUCCAGACUCCUACGGGAGGCAGCAGUAGGGAAUCUUCCGCAAUGGGCGAAAGCCUGACGGAGCAACGCCGCGUGAGUGAUGAAGGGUUUCGGCUCGUAAAACUCUGUUAUUAGGGAAGAACAAACGUGUAAGUAACUGUGCACGUCUUGACGGUACCUAAUCAGAAAGCCACGGCUAACUACGUGCCAGCAGCCGCGGUAAUACGUAGGUGGCAAGCGUUAUCCGGAAUUAUUGGGCGUAAAGCGCGCGUAGGCGGUUUCUUAAGUCUGAUGUGAAAGCCCACGGCUCAACCGUGGAGGGUCAUUGGAAACUGGGAAACUUGAGUGCAGAAGAGGAAAGUGGAAUUCCAUGUGUAGCGGUGAAAUGCGCAGAGAUAUGGAGGAACACCAGUGGCGAAGGCGACUUUCUGGUCUGUAACUGACGCUGAUGUGCGAAAGCGUGGGGAUCAAACAGGAUUAGAUACCCUGGUAGUCC